rnacentral:rRNA from 1 species
UACAGUGGGUGCGAGCGUUGUUCGGAAUUACUGGGCGUAAAGCGCGUGUAGGCGGUUCGAUAAGUCAGAUGUGAAAUCCUGGAGCCUAACUCCAGAAGUGCAUUUGAAACUGUCGAGCUUGAGUGAUGUAGAGGAUGGCGGAAUACCCAGUGUAGAGGUGAAAUUCGUAGAGAUUGGGUAGAACACCGGUGGCGAAGGCGGCCAUCUGGGCAUUAACUGACGCUGAGACGCGAAAGCAUGGGGAGCAAACAGG